rnacentral:rRNA from 1 species
GACGUAGGGUGCAAGCGUUGUCCGGAUUUAUUGGGCGUAAAGAGCUCGUAGGCGGCUUGUUGCGUCGACUGUGAAAACCCGCGGCUUAACCGCGGGCUUGCAGUUGAUACGGGCAGGCUAGAGUUCGGUAGGGGAGACUGGAAUUCCUGGUGUAGCGGUGAAAUGCGCAGAUAUCAGGAGGAACACCGGUGGCGAAGGCGGGUCUCUGGGCCGAUACUGACGCUGAGGGACGAAAGCUAGGGGAGCGAAUGGG